AAUUUCCCAGCUCCCAAAAUGCAUAGAAAUAAUUGCUGCGGGUAAAAAAGCUCGUAGUUGGAUCUGUGCAGUGGGUGUCGGUCCACCUUCGGGUGCGUACUGACCUACCCCUGCUUUCACUGUCGGUUUGCCCCGUCGUCGCCUUCAUUGGUGGCGGCGGGUGGCUGACGAUUUUACUUUGAACAAAUCAGAGUGCUUAAUACAGGCGUUUCGCUUGAAUGUUCUUGCAUGGAAUAAUAGAAAAGGAUUUCGGUUCUAUUUUAUUGGUUUUAUAGACUGAGAUAAUGGUUAACAGAGACAAACGGGGGCAUUCGUAUCGCUGCGUGAGAGGUGAAAUUCUUGGACCGCAGCGAGACGAACUACAGCGAAAGCAUUUGCCAAGAAUGUCUUCAUUAAUCAAGAACGAAAGUCAGAGGUUCGAAGGCGAUCAGAUACCGCCCUAGUUCUGACCGUAAACGAUGCCAACUAGCGAUCCGUCGGCGGAUAUUUCGCCCUGAUGGGGAGCUUCCCGGAAACGAAAGUCUUCCGGUUCCGGGGGAAGUAUGGUUGCAAAGCUGAAACUUAAAGGAAUUGACGGAAGGGCACCACCAGGAGUGGAGCCUGCGGCUUAAUUUGACUCAACACGGGGAAACUCACCCGGCCCGGACACCGUAAGGAUUGACAGAUUGAUAGCUUUUUCAUGAUUCGGUGGAUGGUGGUGCAUGGCCGUUCUUAGUUCGUGGAGCGAUUUGUCUGGUUUAUUCCGAUAACGAGCGAGACUCUAGCCUACUAACUAGUCCACACAUUGUUUACUGUGUUGUGCGACUUCUUAGAGGGAUUUUCGGUGUUCAGCCGCACGAGAUUGAGCAAUAACAGGUCUGUGAUGCCCUUAGAUGUCCGGGGCUGCACGCGCGCUACACUGGCGAAAUCAGCGUGCUUGUCCUUUCUCGAAAGAGAUUGGUAAACCAUUGAAAAUUUGCCGUGAUUGGGAUCGGAAAUUGCAAUUAUUUU
rnacentral:rRNA from 1 species